rnacentral:rRNA from 1 species
CCUACGGUAGGCAGCAGUGGGGAAUAUUUGUCAAUGGCCGGAAGGCUGACCCAGCAACGCCGCGUGAAGGUAAAUGCCCUAUGGGCGUUAAACUUCUUUUCUCAGGGAGCAAUAAUGGUAACGUAUGUGCAGACUAAGGUACCGUUCACAUCAUGCUAGCCUAACUACGUUCCCGCAGCGGGCGUACUACGUAGGAUGCAAGCGUUAUCCGGAGUUAUUGGGUUUAAAGGGUGCGUCGGCUGUGAGGUAAGUCAGCGGUGAAAUGCCACCGCUCAACGGGGUGAAGUGCCAUUGAUACUGCCUUGCUGGAAUGCGGAUGCCGUGGGAGGAAUGUGUGGUGUAGCGGUGAAAUGCAUAGAUAUCACACAGAACACCGAGUGUGAAGGCAUCUCACGAAUCCGCGAUUGACGCUGAUGCACGAAAGCGUGGGUAUCAAACAGGAUUAGAUACCCGUGUAGUC